rnacentral:rRNA from 1 species
AGAAUCAACGCUGGCGGCGUGCCUAACACAUGCAAGUCGAACGAGAAAGUGGAGCAAUCCAUGAGUAAAGUGGCGACCGGGUGAGUAACACGUGACCAAUCUACCUUCGAGUGGGGGAUAACUCCGGGAAACCGGGGCUAAUACCGCAUAACAUCUUUGGAAUGCAAAUUCCGUUGAUCAAAGGAGCAAUUCGCUUGAAGAGGAGGUCGCGGCUGAUUAGUUAGUUGGCGGGGUAAUGGCCCACCAAGACGAAGAUCGGUA